GGGAAUAUAGCUCAGUGAUAGAGCACCUGCCUAGCAUGUGUGAGACCCUGGGUUCAAUCCCUAGAAUCUCA
rnacentral:tRNA from 1 species